UCAGGAUCGAGCGGGUGCGAAAUUCAAUUCUCUAAUCGUAAAUUCUAAUUUAACUAGUUUCCUAUUAAAUCCUAAACUAUUGGUACGGGCGUACUACCGUUCAGAUUUUCAGGAGAGGAGAGUUGUAACGGUGGAAUUGGAUCGGCCAAUCUUGGCUUACGCGCAAUGGUUGAGCGACCUGGCAAACGGAGCACUUCUGGAUUCCCGAGACCUAAAUUAGAGACUUGAUGGGCUAGAUUAUCGGUCACCAUAUUAUGCUGAGUGGGUCCACCCCAUACACGCUCGAUGAUUUCUACCAGGCACACGAGCUGACGUCGACAAAUAAUCUGGCGCAGCCCCAGGAACAGCUACCGGUGCCCCUCCUGACAUGCCCCUGGCAUUUGCUUCCAUGUUAGGAGCCAGGACGGUACCCAGUUGAGUGCCGUCGUCAUUGCGCUGCUGCAGAAGUUGGUUUGCAAAUCGGCUCUGAAAACGUGGCGUUCUCAAGGUCGUUUCCGAGGAGUGAGGACCUGUAGAAAGUGGAUUAAUCAUCCCCGAGUUAGAUACCCUACUUAUCCUCGGUGUUACCUGAGCUAACGCAGCGGUGCCACGCGCAGGAGUCAUGUCUUGAUUGUCGAUUAAGGAUCUGAUCGAGUUAGUGACCCCUGGUUGCUGAGAUCCGGAGAUUUCGGCUACUUUCAAAUCACCAUUCGACGUAGAAAGCAUCGUGCCGCCGUCGGCUCCUCCUACCUCUUCGAUCAAGGAAUCUAGUGCUGACGGAUCUGACACUAUAUGAGACUCUCUAUGCUGAGGUCUUGCGAUUUGGCUUUGUGACAAUUGUUGUGUCAUUUCGAAUUGUUUCCCAAAAGAAUUUUUCGGUAGAGAUUGCGAAUGAGGAUUAUCUGCGAAGCUCGAGACAAUGCGGAACACCGUGACGUUUUUCGACAGGUCGUUUAAAUCAGCCCAGAAAUAUUCUGCCGACAAACGAGAAAUUUCCUGCAAUACACGCUUUUGCUCGACUGCCUGUUCCGGAUUAACCGGUACGUAACAUCUAAUGCGUUUAUGGUAAUGAACAAGCCGUGAGAAACAUGCGUGUCCUUUUCCUGCUAUCAACGCAUCUUCUAUCUCCCUUAGCCUGUGCGGUACAUACAGCAAGUCUGCCGCUAGCGUGUGUGCAGAUUCUUUGAUCCGGUUCGGACUUAAAGUGCGUUGUUUAGCUUCGAGCGGUACCGUUGUAGAUUGUGAGCGUAUGUUUAAUUCAUAGUCUAUCUCC